rfam:Desulfobulbus sp. Tol-SR contig_192, whole genome shotgun sequence.
CUUCACUGCCGCACAGGCAGCUGAGAAA